AGCAGCUCUAAAGCUCGAGCUCAAGCAGAUGAUUUCGAAGAAAUUGCGUCAGACGCAAACCGUGCGUGUGACGUCGAGGUGGAUGAGUCGAUGCGCACAGGAGUCCGUAAAAUUAUUCAGUACUGUGAGAUAUUGAGAACAUCAAGUUCUGAAGGCCUGUUCCAUUCUCGAUGGUGAUGGAGCUGGAUUCGUUGCGUUCUGUGUUGCCGACAGCUGCAGCCACCCAAGGAGGAAGGCGUCGGAGGUGGUGCGCAGUCCGACAAGCCGUGCAAAUGAUCAUCUUGAGCAUUUUGUUGAAGGCAGUUCUGAAAUGCUAUGUGAAGAAUAAAGUGAAGACAAGGCGCAAAAGAAGUCAUGGUCACCUUUUACAACCAAGGAAGUGACGGCUACUCGUCCCACUGGACGUGAACUUGUGUGGUCACGAGUGUAACUACCCCAGUGCAACAGCGUUUCCUCUUUAAAUACUCUCCUGUAUAGUUCUCCUGUUAUUGUUGGAUAUGACAGACAACCACCAGUAAUAUUG